AAAAAUGGCUCCACACUUUUGUGUUCCUUCACGCAGCAACGUGAUCGGCGUGUUUUCGAUGAUCUCGACGCUCAGCAAGAUCCAUUGUGCAGUGUUAAGUUCAGAAAUGUUUUCCUCAUCGUAUGCAGCAGUGAAUUCUCUUGUGCGCUUCGUCGUUUCCGCCCGCUGGAUAUCGACGAUUUUGACAAAGAACUCUACGAAGUCUUGCGGGCUGGCGAGGAAAACGGCAGCACCCACUUACUGCACAUGAGCCAAACUGAGGAAGGGAUGGAGGAGGCGUGAGUCGAACAACAACCGACGUGUGCAGCGGAAACUCGGCGAUGCUCAACUGGGACCGGGAUCACGAAAAAACACCUUUACCUCGAGGCGAAAAAGUGUCCCCUGCAGGACCUCCAGAAGAAACACCAGUCCCCGCAACGGUACCUUGCACAAGAAUGUGCCAACCUGCACUAUUAAUCCAGCUAGGUUUUCAUGGACAUUUUCAUUAAUUUUAUUG
rnacentral:lncRNA from 1 species